GCGAUUUUUACGGUGCUGUCAAAGUCUUGGCCGUUCGUUGUUCGUGACUCCUUCGUUUCGCUUUUCUAGUAUGAUAGGUGGGCCUCAAUUGCCCUCGGGCCCAACAUUCUGGUGUGGCCUGUGUGUGUGCUGGGUGAGAAAAGGAGGAGAAUGGGGGUGGAUCGUGGUGCGAGGUGAAAACUCAGCCACCAAUCCCCCACGUCUCGGAGCAACCAAUCCAGGCCCCGCUCCCCUUCCUCUCCACCGUGCCGCCUCCUCCCCUUCUGCCCUGCUCUCCACCACAUCUCCUCUCCUCCCCUUUACUGUCCUCUCCGGCGGCGGCGCCAAUCUGCGGGCAAAGGGAGACGGCGGGGGCGCCAAUCUGUAGGCAAAGGGAGACGGCGGCAGCGCUCGAUUCAAUCUGCGGAGGAGAGAAGAUGGAGGGAGGAGAGAAGAUGGAGGGAGAGAGAGAAGGGGAAGAGAGGAGGGAGAAAGAGAGAGUAAAGAGGAGAGAGAGGUGAGGCGGCUGGCAGAUAGGGUCACCGGAAGGAGCGCCCGCUUUUCUUUCCGGCGGUAGCGCCGACCUGCAGGCAAAGGGAGAAGAUGAGAGGGAGAGAGAGAAGGAAGGAGAGGGGGGAGAAAGAGAGAGGAAAGAGGAGAGGGAGGUGUGGUGGAGGACGGGAGAGGGUCACCAGAAGGAGUGCCUUUCGAGGUCGUGCGCCGGCCGGAGCAGCAGGAGCAAGGAUCUGGCGGCCUCUGCCUCCCCGUUGCACGCCAGCACCGCAUCUCCUUCAUAUUUUAUUUUCAGUUUUCACAUGUUGAGCUAUAGGUUGGCUUGAUCUCUUGUGUUAGGGACGUGUGAGGUUGAACGACUGAAAAUUGUUACAGAACUUUCCCUAUGGCCGGUCUGUUUCACAAUUGUCUUAUCAUAAUGCUAAAGAAGUCUCUUUUUUGCAGGAAGCCUUCCGAUCUGUGGAGAAUAUUCAUGGCUUGGUGAACAUGGUUAAGAGAACUCCAAAACCAUCUGUCAUUGUCUUAUAUUAUGCCAAACUAACUGAAAUAUCCUGAAUAUCCGAGUCACUUGUAUCAUGCGUAUGCAUCGCUGAAGCUUUUCAUCUUGCAAAAGAGCUACAAUAAAAAAUUAACUCAGAAGAGACCUUUUCAAUUUCUCCCUCGUAUCCAAGUGUGACAAUAGAGAAAUGGUUUCUAGAGCUCGCCGUGGAUCCUUUUUUGGCUGCUGUGAUUUUUUUAACAUGCUGCCAAAAUGUUCAAUGUCUCUGUUAUCACAUGGAUUUAGUCUUCCAAUGCAUUCUCGUCGAACAAUGUAGGAUGUGAGCUUCUUCGGCUUCUUCCAGCGGCCCGGCCAUGACGUCCUCAAGCCGCCGACGCUCAGAGCGACAUCAAUGGCCCUCUCCCAAGCUGCACUGCUCCUGAUCUUCAUCGCCUCACACUGUUGUGCUCCGCACAGUUCAGCCUGACCAUGAUGUUCUCAAGCCGCCGAUGGUCACAACACACGUGGCGACCCGCUCCCAAGCUGUGUUGCUUUUCCAUCAGCGCUGACAAACUUAGUUUGUUUUUGAAUGUGGGCAUCAGGUCUCCGAGUCGUUUAAAUCUGAACGCAAGACCAAGGCUACUAGCCUGAGCAUUGCGGAACAAAGCAGGAAAGCAUUUGCUGAACUUAA